CAAUAGCGUAUAUUAAAGUUGUUGCAGUUAAAAAGCUCGUAGUUGGAUUUCUGGUUGAAGCGACCGGUCGGGCGUUGAUUCGUCUGCACUGGAGUCGGUUUUGGCCAUCCUCUAGGAAAGUGCGUCUGGUAUUAAGUUAUCGGGCGUAUGAUCCUGGUCUUUUACUGUGAAAAAAUUAGAGUGUUUAAAGCAGGCCUUCGCCUUGAAUACAUUAGCAUGGAAUAAUAAGAUAGGACUUUGGUCUAUUUUGUUAGUUUGCAGACCGAAGUAAUGAUUAAUAGGGAUAGUUGGGGGUAUUUAUAUUCCGAUGUCAGAGGUGAAAUUCUUAGAUUUUCGGAAGAUAAACUUAUGCGAAAGCAUUUACCAAGGAUGUUUUCAUUAA
rnacentral:rRNA from 1 species